rnacentral:ncRNA from 1 species
UAUGAAACAGGGCAAAAUUGCCGAAAGGCAAUGACGCAAAGCCUUGGGUCUAAAGCUUGGGUUUAUCCGAAGCUAAGAUAGCUCGGCUGCCAUU